rnacentral:rRNA from 1 species
UACGAAGGGGGCUAGCGUUGUUCGGAAUCACUGGGCGUAAAGCGCACGUAGGCGGAUCUUUAAGUCAGGGGUGAAAUCCCGAGGCUCAACCUCGGAACUGCCUUUGAUACUGGGGAUCUCGAGUCCGGGAGAGGUGAGUGGAACUGCGAGUGUAGAGGUGAAAUUCGUAGAUAUUCGGAGGAACACCAGUGGCGAAGGCGGCUCACUGGUCCGGUACUGACGCUGAGGUGCGAAAGCGUGGGGAGCAAACAGG